rnacentral:lncRNA from 1 species
CAGUUGCCAUCUUCAGACUUCAAACAACCACUACAAAAAUGGUUAAGAAUUCUAGAAUAAACAAAAUAUAAGAUUUCAACAUAAAUCGAUUCCCUUGGAAACCAGCAAUUUUUACACGAAACAUAUACUACACUUUGUAAUACAAACAAUAUAUGUUAAUUUUAUGAAAAAAUGUCUUUUCUUUAUGAAUAUGCUAUAAAUAUUGCUGGGGGAUUCCCAGCGGCAGUGCCAAUCUCUUUAUAUGAGAUGCUAAACAUUUGCGGUAUUCUUACCUUUCUGUUUCUCAAGCAGGUACAUCCAUGCAGGUGGUACCUACAUGGUCAUAAUAAGAGAUUCCUAGAAGCAAUCUAUCAGAAAGUGCAAUAACCCCACACGGACAAAAAGGAUACUGAAGAACCAACUAGUAAAUAAUAUGAACCAAUCCCAUACUCAAUGAAGAGUUACAAGGUCCCUAAGAAAUUAGUUAGAAAAAUCAAUAAAAGACUAACUUAUAGAAGGCAUUUGACACUAUUCAGCCAGUUCAGAAAUGAGAAAGACAAUAAGCAGAGAAAGAAUAGAACUGGAGUAUAUAAAAUUCCGGUUAAAAAUAAUAAGAGACACAUGAAUGAAACCUACAUAAGAGUAACAGAGAGAACACUGGACCGAAGACUAAGAGAACAUAAAAGGGAUAUAGUUAAAUGAAAAAUGAAUACAGCCCUAGCAAUAUCAGUAUAUGGGAAUGAUAUGCAUGUAAACUGGCAAGAGGCAGAAGCAAUAAGAACACUAAGAAAAGGAAAACCUACAACGCUGGCAGAAAGUAUGGAGAUGUAUACCAAUGAGAAAAAAGGAAAACUAUUGAAUGAACACCCUCACAAGAGUUGGUGGAUCCAUGGAAAUUUCUCCUGAACAGAACAGUGAAACAAAACCGAAAAGAUUUAGGACCGUGUUGAUGAUGUUUAACCCUGAAAAUUAUAAAUUUAAAGAGUUUAGAAUUAAAAUAGUCUUAUAUCUUUAAUAAUCUUUAUAUAUUAUAUAGUUUAGAGUACAUUUUAUUUUAUAUUUUAUUUUUUAUUUUCUCUCUUUUAUUGUAUUUAAAAACAUGUAGCCAUGGUAAUGUGAGGAUCCGGGACGGGCUAUGUCGGAUGGACCGAGUUAAGUUUUGGUAUAAUUUGGAAUAAGGCGCGUAAGUAAGUGGCACAGGGAUCCAGG